GAUCCAAACAAACAAGCCAGUACGGCACAAAAGAGGUUGUGAAAAGACGUGCCCCGACUUCGUCUCUACAGCUGAUGUCAGGGCAAAGGGACACAAGAAGGACUCCUCGCCCAACCAGGGCACUGUACCGGAUCAAUGGACAAGACACAGAUUUCUCAACAGGAUUACAAGACAGUUCUCCCUGU